UACGUAGGGGGCAAGCGUUGUUCGGAGUGACUGGGCGUAAAGGGUGCGUAGGCGGUGUAGCAAGUUAGAAGUGAAAUACCUAGAGCUUAACUCAGGUGCUGCUUCUAAAACUGCUAUACUUGAGUGCAGUAGAGGAAAGUGGAAUUCCUAGUGUAGCGGUGGAAUGCGUAGAUAUUAGGAGGAACAUCAGUGGCGAAGGCGACUUUCUGGACUGUAACUGACGCUGAGGCACGAAAGUGUGGGGAGCAAACAGG
rnacentral:rRNA from 1 species